rnacentral:rRNA from 1 species
GAGACAGCAGCAGCCGCGGUAAUACGGAGGAUCCAAGCGUUAUCCGGAAUCAUUGGGUUUAAAGGGUCCGUAGGCGGUCUUGUAAGUCAGUGGUGAAAGCCCAUCGCUCAACGGUGGAACGGCCAUUGAUACUGCAGGACUUGAAUUAUUGGGAAGUAACUAGAAUAUGUAGUGUAGCGGUGAAAUGCUUAGAGAUUACAUGGAAUACCAAUUGCGAAGGCAGGUUACUACCAAUUGAUUGACGCUGAUGGACGAAAGCGUGGGUAGCGAACAGGAUUAGAUACCCGCGUAGUCCCUGUCUCUUAUAC